rnacentral:rRNA from 1 species
UACGUAGGUGACCAGCGUUGUCCGGAUUUACUGGGCGUAAAGAGCGCGCAGGCGGUCGUUCAAGUCGAGUGUGAAAGCCCCCGGCUCAACUGGGGAGGGUCACUCGAUACUGAUCGACUUGAAGGCAGGAGAGGGAAGCGGAAUUCCCGGUGUAGUGGUGAAAUGCGUAGAUAUCGGGAGGAACACCAGUGGCGAAGGCGGCUCCUGGCCU